rnacentral:rRNA from 1 species
GCGGAAGAGAUAAGUGCUGAAAGCAUCUAAGCACGAAACUUGCCCCGAGAUGAGUUCUCCCUGACUCCUUGAGAGUCCUGAAGGAACGUUGAAGACGACGACGUUGAUAGGCCGGGUGUGUAAGCGCAGCGAUGCGUUGAGCUAACCGGUACUAAUGAACCGUGAGGCUUAACCUUACAACGCCGAAGCUGUU